GUACAUGCAGCUGAAUAGUCAAAAGCGGUGGGCUCAAAAUCCUUUUUUUUUCCAAAUGUUCAAAUCUUCUCAGGCACA
rnacentral:tRNA from 1 species